rnacentral:rRNA from 1 species
AUUGAACGCUGGCGGCAUGCCUAACACAUGCAAGUCGAACGGAGGUAGGGGCAACUCUACUUCAGUGGCGGACGGGUGAGGAAUGCGUCGGAAUCUACCCUAUGGUGGGGGAUAACACAGGGAAACUUGUGCUAAUACCGCAUAAUGUCGAGAGACCAAAGCAGGGGACCGCAAGGCCUUGCGCGAUAGGAUGAGCCGACGCCCGAUUAGCUAGUUGGUAGGGUAAAGGCCCACCAAGGCGACGAUCGGUAGCUGGUCUGAGAGGAUGAUCAGCCACACUGGGACUGAGACACGGCCCAGACUCCUACGGGAGGCAGCAGUGGGGAAUAUUGGACAAUGGGCGCAAGCCUGAUCCAGCAAUGCCGCGUGUGUGAGAAGGCCUGCGGGUUGUAAAGCACUUUUGUUCGGGAGAAAUCAUGCUGGUUAAUACCUGGUAUGGAUGACGGUACCGAAGAAUAAGCACCGGCUAACUCGUGCC